rnacentral:rRNA from 1 species
CAGUCGCCGCGGGAAAACGAAGGGGGCUAGCGUUGUUCGGAUUUACUGGGCGUAAAGGGCGCGUAGGCGGGCGAUUAAGUCAGGGGUGAAAUCCCAAGGCUCAACCUUGGAACUGCCUUUGAUACUGAUUGUCUUGAGUUCGAGAGAGGUAAGUGGAACUGCGAGUGUAGAGGUGAAAUUCGUAGAUAUUCGCAAGAACACCAGUGGCGAAGGCGGCUUACUGGCUCGAUACUGACGCUGAGGCGCGAAAGCGUGGGGAGCAAGCAGGAUUAGAGACCCCAGUAGUCCCUGUCUCUUAUAC